rnacentral:rRNA from 1 species
GCUCAAAUUUGAAAUCUGACUUCUUUUUGAGGUCCGAAUUGUAAUUUGUAGAAGAUGCUUCGGGUGUGGUACCGGUCUAAGUUCCUUGGAACAGGACGUCAUAGAGGGUGAGAAUCCCGUACGUGGCUGGCCACCUUCGCCCGUGUGAAGCUCUUUCGAC